AACGAACGCUGGCGGCAGGCUUAACACAUGCAAGUCGAACGGGUGCAGCAAUGCAUCAGUGGCAGACGGGUGAGUAACACGUGGGAACCUUCCUAGGGGUACGGAACAACUCAGGGAAACUUGAGCUAAUACCGUAUACGUCCGUGAGGAGAAAGAUUUAUGGCCCUUAGACGGGCCCGCGUCGGAUUAGCGAGUUGGUGGGGUAACGGCCUACCAUGGUGACGAUCCGUAGCUGAUCUUAGAGGAUGAUCAGCCACACUGGGACUGAGACGCGGCCCAGACUCCUACGGGAGGCAGCAGUGGGAAAUCUUGGACAAUGGGCACAAGCCUGUUCCAGCCAUGACGCGUGAGUGAAGAAGGUCUUCGGAUUGUAAAGCUCUUUUACCAGGGACGAUAAUGACGGUACCUGGAGAAUAAGCCCCGGCAAACUUCGUUCCAGCAGCCGCCGUAA
rnacentral:rRNA from 1 species